rnacentral:rRNA from 1 species
UACGUAGGGGGCAAGCGUUGUCCGGAAUUAUUGGGCGUAAAGGGCGCGUAGGCGGCUUGGCAAGUGGAAGGUGAAAUCCCUCGGCUUAACCGAGGAACUGCCUUCCAGACUGUUAGGCUUGAGACCGGGAGAGGUGAGUGGAAUUCCCAGUGUAGCGGUGAAAUGCGCAGAUAUCGGGAGGAACACCUAUGGCGAAGGCAGCUCGCUGGGACGUUACUGACGCUGAGACGCGAAAGCGUGGGGAGCAAACAGG